GAUGCUUUUGGACCAUAACUCGUAGCAGCCCUAGCCAAUAUACCCAACAGCGAAAAACACAUAGAGUGGGCAUGGCAGAGAAACAUUGUCCACCCCUGAAUUAAAGACGCGCUUUAGUCACACAGACCCAAUAUGUGCCUCACUUCAAACAUAGGUCAUGCUUUCGCGAAGGCUUUCACGGCCAGGAUCUAAUGGUUGUUGUGGGUUUUUCGUGCCCUUUGGCCAUGUUCUGAAGGUUGUUCUUCCUGACGUUUCGCUAGUCUCUGUGGCCGGCAUCUUCAGAGGACUGGAAUAGGAACUCUGUCCACAGAGANNNNNNNNNNNNNNNNNNNNNNNNNNNNNNNNNNNNNNNNNNNNNNNNNNNNNNNNNNNCAACAACCAAUAGGUCAUGCUUUCUUAUUUGUAAAAAUGGAAGGAGAGUGAAAAGCGUUGAGGCAGACUUCUAGAAAUGAAGAAUUGACUCAAAGACAGAGGCCCCAGACUUCUGUUAAAACUGAGGACCAGGCUUGUUUUCUUCCUAUCAAAGCAAAAGUGCCCGACAGAAAGAGAAACAUUAAUAAAGUUAAGUGACAUAACUAGUCCAGCUGAGAGAAGGAGGACUUGGGGACUUUCCAAUUUGCCUGAAGAAGCGUUAACGAAGGAACUCUGGAGAGGCAUCACUCAUUUUUAUUUCUCAUUUGACAUGGCUUCUCCACUCUUCUGCUGCUGGAGUGCUGAGAUAAAACAACUCAUUGAAAGCCAAAGGAACAACAGCUUCGAUCUACUCCAGAGGCAGCUGGCUCUGCCAUUUCUUCCCUCAGCCUUUUAAAUCCAAGUGCUUAUGCUCAAGUUCACAGAAACGGAGCUGUGGGUAUUUUCGGAGCUAAGUUUGCAAGACAGUGGACUAAUGCCAGACUGAGCUCCUGUUUUAGGUGACAAAUUGUCAAUUUCACAUUCCUAAGUGCUUCUGAUUAUUCCAGUUCUCCUGGGAUGGUCACUUUCCAAGUCCUGAGAAUGAUUCUCUACCUAGGAGAUGACUACCUUGGCAAAUAAUAUGGAAAUUGCUCCAGGAUUGGGACAGUCAUACUUGCAUUGUUUUCCAUUGACUACAUGACAUAUUUGUUGAAGUGUCUCUCCCUCAGAAUGUUCUUCACAGGCCUUGCUUCUCCCAGUCACUGUGCUGAGAGAGGCUAAGAAGAUGGUCAUCAGGCAUCGUGGUUCUCGGCCAUGGUUCCCACCUUAUGGAAUGGGUUCCUAGUGGAGGUUGUCAGACAUCUUCCCUCCCUUCUUUUAAGAGGAUGCUUGAGACACAAGUGUUUUGAGAAGCAUUUUAGGGCAUCAUCCCUUACAUUAUUUUACAAGUGUUCCCAUAGUGCGUCAUCACUUGCGGGUCUUAUUUAGUUAUUGCAUUUGUGUACUUAAAAUUGUCUUUUGUUGAUCUGUUGAUGUUUGGGGUCAUUGUUAUUAUUUGUAAAUUGCUUAGAGUAGUGUUAUACAUUGUCAGUGACAGACAGACAGACAGACAGACAGACAGACAGACAGACAUCUCUUUCUUGGGUCACAUCUUAAUGUGGUGAAAGCGUUUGAGUGUGUCAGUGAAGCUGAGAGCAAUGCCGUCAGGAAAUCACACUCCAUUAUGAGCCUGGACUCCUAGCAGAGUCACCCAUGACAGAAUGGUCAUGGCUGAGACAUCAGACUAAGAUGCAUCCACCCUCUUCAAGAAAGCUACUGGGCAGCAGUGGUAGUUGAAGGAGAAAGCAAUGGUAGUGACACUCAAGCUAACUUUUGUUAGUACUGGGAGAAUGUGGCAAUGUUCAAACCAAUGCUGAACUUUUCUUACCAUGAAAAUCCUCUGAUGAGACAGUCAAAAAUGAAAUAAGAGAUAAUGCUGGAAGAUGAGACUUCCAAUUCAGAAAGCACUCAAUUGGCUACUGGAGAUAAGUUGCUGGUUUGGAUUUGAUUAAUUAUUUAUUACUUAUUAUUUGGAUAUAUUAUAUAUAUACUUAUUCUGUUAUGGCUCUCCAGUUUGGUUCUAGUUAUUGACAGAGGUCAGCUGUGGGUUGCCAUUUUUGUUUUUUCUCUAUUCUUCUCUCUGUUCAUAUCAUUUGAUUAGGUUACUGAGAAUAUUUCUUUGAAUAUUUUUAAAUUUCAUUGUAUGGUUUGUUUUAUGUUUUGUAAACCACCAUAAGUAGUGAUUUCAAUAAGCUGAGUCAUCUAUAAGCCUUAUAAAUGUCAUAUUUUAAAUAAAAUGAAAUAUUAAAAAGACA
ensembl:lncRNA